GGACAGGUGGCCGAGUGGCCGAAGGCACCGGAUUACUAACCCGGCAUACCGAAAGGUAUCGUGAGUUCGAAUCUCACCCUGUCCGCCA
rnacentral:tRNA from 1 species